GUUUGACUCACUGAUCCAAUCGCAGUGGUUCACAGUUCACUGGAGCAAGGCAAUGGCUUAAGCUUCAGUCUGUUCUGUACUUAAAGCUAUUGUAUGGAUUCAGAAGACUUGGACUUUAGUCAUAAAUCUAUAGAGUCAUAUGGACUACUUUCAUGAUGCUUUGCUUAUGUCUUUGGUGAUUUUUGCAACUUAAGUGAGGUCAGCUGUCAUUGUAUAUUAAAACAACUUGAUUGAAGAUCUUUACAAGUUUGGAGCGACAAGAGUGUGUAAGACCUUGCUGCUGACUGAGACGGAGAUGAAAAGUGGAGACUAGCUGCUCUGCUGUCUCAGCACCUCGCCGGACUUGUUAGCUGUAAAAUGCUCUUCUCCACUGUGGAUGCAGUCCAGGGGCCGUGCUCUAAUAUCUGGGUGUCGCUGCAAGCUGGCCCCCACCGGACUGACCCGAUAAAUAAUUGCCGCACUGAGCCAGGGUCUAUUUUUAGAUGUGUGUUUAGGAUACUAAGGGCAAAUACUCUCCCUCUGUGUUGAGCCUGUAUUGAUCAGUGAGUUUGGCGUCUGGUGAAGAGACCACUGUGCCUCUAGGCUGAGAACCCUGUGGAGUCAUCAGUCAUAGCAGAGGACACAACAGCAAACAGGACACAGUAAGCACCCAAACCCUCUGGAGAUGAAUGUCUUGGCUGGGCUGAAAGCCCCCUGGAAAGAGACGGAGAACUACUUGGCACCCUGCAUCUAACUCAGACUUCUUGGAGGGUAUCUCUAUGCUGUGACAGCCUGAAUAUUGUUAACACACAAGACAUCACCUCAAGGACAACUGAGCUACUGCUCUUGGUUUAACCGCCUCAAAAAAGCAUGCACCUGCACAAAACUGAGAGGAAUACCAAUUAAGCAAUUACCAACAAGAAUCAGUAUUUUGGACCGCAGUGCUGUUUGUUUGGAAGUGAGCUGAUUGUACCUGUGCAGUGAUGUGGGCAAUUACCUGGUAUUGUUUUUCCUUGUAAUCAUUUUUUGUCUAUCUCUAGCCAAAUGUCUUUGGGCGUUAUGGCAGAAUGCAAACGUAGGCCAUUAAGAGUAUAAAGGCUGGGUGCAGAUCAAGGUCAGUCCAUCAGAGGCAAGAAGAACAUACUGCUGUAUAUAAAUCAGGAAACACAGAAUUUUAAAACAUUUUAUCUUAAUUUUCAUGCUGAGGAGACAGAGGAGCUUUGACACACAUUGUCAAAUGGCAUGUUUGCCACGCAUUGUUGUAUAGAUUCUAAUUUACGAAUGCCCUACACUUGUUAUUUUAUCCCCUAGCCCCUCCACGCAUGUCAAAAUGAAGGAAUGAAAGCAGACAGGCAGGGAGGAAAACAAAAAUUGGUUAAUAGCAAGGGGUCAAACUGUUAUUGUAUUAAAACUCUAUGAUGACAGGGGCUCUGCAGGUUGACACAUGGAGGAUGAAACAAGACCUAAAUGCCUGAAACAAUGUGUUUUAUGCAAGAUUACAAACCUAAAGGCUGAAACCGAAAAUAAAGUUUUCGAGAAUUUAGAGUCAACAGGGUCCUUCAAAUCAUUUUGUUGACAGCUGGAACAUUAUGUCCACUCCACAGUACAUCUAAAUCUGAAUGACUCACACUUUUUAAGGCAGUCUUCAUCAUCUCAAAGACGAAACACAAUCUAUUAUGCAUUGAAUUUAAUUAGUACAUCGAACACUGUUUUUGUUCAUUUCCCCCCAGGCAAUGCCAUCUGAAUAUUUUAAGUCAAACAAUUGUUAUAUUGGAGCAAAAAUAUAUAUUUAACAAACCUGUUGUGUUCAAUGAACUGACUGCUGAAAUACAACAUUAGGGAAAUUAAAGACUAAUGGUGGAAGCCAGAUAGCUGGACUGAACUAAUGACUUCAGGCCAUCACCUGACAGGCCAAAUAUGAGGAUAUUGAUUUGAAUCUAUAAGCAAUUUUAUAGGUGCCCAAUGCAUGCCAGAUUAGUAGCAAGAGUUUGAUCACAUUAGAUGCAGUCCAUUGACAUUAAGGACCUGGAAUCAUUAAGAGGAAUCAUUAAAUUGCUUUCGAUUCACAUCCCUAGAGUUAACUGGAGUUAAGAGGCCUAGCCAAACCUGUUAAUUACAAAGCCGGUUUCCAAUUAAUUUUCGCGACCAAAAACUCAGCAAAAUAUACACAGACACGACUUGCUGAAAAUGUCUAAAAAUAGCACAUCAGAAGGCAGACAACUUCUGUCUUUUCACCCAAAAUAAU
ensembl:lncRNA